CCUACGGGAGGCAGCAGUCGAGAAUCAUUCACAAUGGGGGAAACCCUGAUGGUGCGACGCCGCGUGGGGGAAUGAAGGUCUUCGGAUUGUAAACCCCUGUCAUGUGGGAGCAAAUUAAAAAGAUAGUACCACAAGAGGAAGAGACGGCUAACUCUGUGCCAGCAGCCGCGGUAAUACAGAGGUCUCAAGCGUUGUUCGGAAUCACUGGGCGUAAAGCGUGUGUAGGCUGUUUCGUAGGUCGUGUGUGAAAGGCGCGGGCUCAACCCGCGGACGGCACAUGAUACUGCGAGACUAGAGUAAGGGAGGGGGAACCGGAAUUCUCGGUGUAGCAGUGAAAUGCGUAGAUAUCGAGAGGAACACUCGUGGCGAAGGCGGGUUCCUGGACAUUAACUGACGCUGAGGCACGAAGGCCAGGGGAGCGAAAGGGAUUAGAUACCCGGGUAGUC
rnacentral:rRNA from 1 species